rnacentral:tRNA from 1 species
GCCCUCGUAGCUCAGGGGAUAGAGCACUGGUUUCCGGUACCAGCGGUCGGACGUUCGAAUCGUCUCGAGGGCACGA